UACACACAUGUGUGUGUGUGUGUGUGUGUGUGUUCAUAUGUAAUAUAUAUAUAUAUAUAACACAUGCACACAAACACACACAUAUGUAUG
rnacentral:pre_miRNA from 1 species